rnacentral:rRNA from 1 species
UCAGGCCUAACACAUGCAAGUCGAGCGGACAGAAGGGAGCUUGCUCCCGGAUGUUAGCGGCGGACGGGUGAGUAACACGUGAGUAACCUGCCUGUAAGACUGGGAUAACUCCGGGAAACCGGAGCUAAUACCGGAUAGUUCCUUGAACCGCAUGGUUCAAGGAUGAAAGACGGUUUCGGCUGUCACUUACAGAUGGACCCGCGGCGCAUUAGCUAGUUGGUGGGGUAAUGGCUCACCAAGGCGACGAUGCGUAGCCGACCUGAGAGGGUGAUCGGCCACACUGGGACUGAGACACGGCCCAGACUCCUACGGGAGGCAGCAGUAGGGAAUCUUCCGCAAUGGACGAAAGUCUGACGGAGCAACGCCGCGUGAGUGAUGAAGGUUUUCGGAUCGUAAAGCUCUGUUGUUAGGGAAGAACAAGUGCGAGAGUAACUGCUCGCACCUUGACGGUACCUAACCAGAAAGCCACGGCUAACUACGUGCCAGCAGCCGCGGUAAUACGUAGGUGGCAAGCGUUGUCCGGAAUUAUUGGGCGUAAAGGGCUCGCAGGCGGUUUCUUAAGUCUGAUGUGAAAGCCCCCGGCUCAACCGGGGAGGGUCAUUGGAAACUGGGAAACUUGAGUGCAGAAGAGGAGAGUGGAAUUCCACGUG